GACAAGGCCAGGGAAGCGGUCAGGGCCAGGGAAGCGGUCAGGGACAAGGCCAGGGUCAGGGAAGCGGUCAGGGACAAGGCCAGGGUCAGGGACAGGGACAAGGUCAGGGAAGCGGACAGGGUCAGGGAAGCUGUCAAGGCCAGGUACAGGGACAUGGAAGUGGAAGAGGUCAGGGAAGAAGUCAACAGAAGGGUCAGGGAUGUGGUCAUUGAAGUGGACAUGGGACUUUUGCUUAAU